rnacentral:piRNA from 1 species
UGGUGCAGUAAUGACUACCUAGGAAUGAGUC